rnacentral:rRNA from 1 species
UAGUUCCUACGGGGCGCAGCAGUAGGGAAUCUUCCACAAUGGACGAAAGUCUGAUGGAGCAACGCCGCGUGAGUGAAGAAGGGUUUCGGCUCGUAAAGCUCUGUUGGUAGUGAAGAAAGAUAGAGGUAGUAACUGGCCUUUAUUUUACGGUAAUUUCUUAGAAAGUCACGGCUAACUACGUUCCAGCAGCCGCGGUAAUACGUAGGUUGCAAGCGUUGGCCGGGUUUAUUUGGCGUAAAUC